CGCACAUUGCGCCUGCCAGUAUUCUGGCAGGCAUGCCUGUCCGAGCGUCAUCUCGACCUUCAAGCCCUGGCUGCUUGGUGUUAGGGCUCUGCAGCACUCGCUGCAGGCCCCGAAGAUCAGUGGCGGACCCGUAGGCUCCCCAGCGUAGUAGCAUAUCUCGUUGCGGGCUCUCUGCGGGCUUCCGGCCAGAACUGUUCGUGCCCGCCCAAGGGGGCAGCGCUCACUAUAUUCACUGGUUGACCUCGGAUCAGGUAGGAAUACCCGCUGAACUUAA
rnacentral:misc_RNA from 1 species